rnacentral:rRNA from 1 species
AUGCACGCUGGCGGCGUGCCUCAUACAUGCAAGUCGAGCGAACAGACGAGGAGCUUGCUCCUCUGACGUUAGCGGCGGCCGGGUGAGUAACACGUGGAUAACCUACCUAUAAGACUGGGAUAACUUCGGGAAACCGGAGCUAAUACCGGAUAAUAUAUUGAACCGCAUGGGUCAAUAGUGAAAGACGGUUUUGCUGGCACUUAUAGAUGGAUCCGCGCCGCAUUAGCUAGUUGGUAAGGUAACGGCUUACCAAGGCAACGAUGCGUAGCCGACCUGAGAGGGUGAUCGGCCACACUGGAACUGAGACACGGUCCAGACUCCUACGGGAGGCAGCAGUAGGGAAUCUUCCGCAAUAGGCGAAAGCCUGACGGAGCAACGCCGCGUGAGUGAUGAAGGUCUUCGGAUCGUAAAACUCUGUUAUUAGGGAAGAACAAAUGUGUAAGUAACUAUGCACGUCUUGACGGUACCUAAUCAGAAAGCCACGGCUAACUACAUG